AAACUCCGCAAUGCGCGCAAGCGUGACGGGGGGAUUCUGAGUGCUUACGGUUUAUCCGUAGGCUUUUCGUUAGGGUAAAUACCUAGCGGAAUAAGUGGUGGGCAAGACUGGUGCCAGCCGCCGCGGUAACCCCAGCGCCACAAGUGGGAACCACGUUUAUUGGGUCUAAAGCAUCCGUAGCCGGCUCGACAAAUGCCCUGUGAAAUCGUUUCGCUCAACGGAACGGCGUGCAGGGUAGACUACCGAGCUAGGGACCAGGGGAGGGAGGCGGUAUUCCUGAGGGAGCGGUAAAAUGUGAUAAUCUCAGGAGGACCACCGAUGGCGAAGGCAGCCUCCUAAAAUGGAUCCGACGGUGAGGGAUGAAAGCUAGGGGAGCGAUCCGGAUUAGAUACCCGAGUAGUCCUAGCCGUAAACGCUGCAUGCCAGAUGUUACACAAUCUUCGAGAUUGCGUAGUGUCGAAACGAAGGUGUUAAGCAUGCCACCUGGGAAUUACGGUCGCAAGGCUGAAACUUAA
rnacentral:rRNA from 1 species